rnacentral:rRNA from 1 species
CCUACGGGGGGCAGCAGUGGGGAAUAUUGCGCAAUGGGCGAAAGCCUGACGCAGCGACGCCGCGUGAGGGAUGAAGGUCUUCGGAUCGUAAACCUCUGUCAGCAGGGAAGAACGGUCACUGUGCUAAGCAGCAGUGAAUUGACGGUACCUGCAAAGGAAGCACCGGCUAACUCCGUGCCAGCAGCCGCGGUAAUACGGAGGGUGCGAGCGUUAAUCGGAAUGACGGGGCGUAAAGCGCUCGUAGGCGGUAUGUCAAGUCAAGGGUGAAAUCCCCGCGCUCAACGUGGGAACUGCCUUUGAAACUGGCAACCUGGCGUGUGUGCGAGGAUAGUGGCAUUCUAGGUGUCGUCGU